AUUUACCCUUGUGGCUCAUUUUUGUCUAAUUUUCAGAAUAUAGAAGUAGGAAAAUGGAACCAUUUAUGACCCAAAGAGAACUGAAGUGCUGGAAAUAUUUCAGAAUUGUGCACAAACAAUGGUUCUUCCUGUUUCUGCAAUGAGGUCCUCCUCAUACAAGUCUCACCAAGGAGUUCACAAACAAGCUCCGUAGCCUGUACUUCUCUGAAGUGGCAUAUAUUCAUGUUGUUAGAGUAUCCCUAUUUGAUUGUGUUAGUGUGAAGUCUACUGAAUGUCUCUCUCAGCUUUGUAUGUUACUCAUUCCUUCCUUUCUAGAUGAGUAAAUAUUUCUCCAAAUCUUA